AUUCACCUACUUUUGAAAGAGAAAAAUCAACACAAGAAGCAAGAGAAGAUGGAGAUGGACCAAGUAGUAAUAACAAAUCUAAAUUCUUCUGAUUUUUUUUUUUUUUCCUUUU
rnacentral:ribozyme from 1 species